GACGAACGCUGGCGGCGUGCCUAACACAUGCAAGUCGAGCGGAGAAAAGAUGAAAGUUUACUGGAAUCUUUUCUUAGCGGCGGACGGGUGAGUAACGCGUGGGCAACCUGCCCUAUACAGGGGGAUAACAAGUCGAAAGAUCUUGCUAAUACCGCAUAAUAUCGAUUUUUCACAUGGGAAAUCGAUCAAAGGAGAAAUCCGGUAUGGGAUGGGCCCGCGUCUGAUUAGCUAGUUGGUGAGGUAAUGGCUCACCAAGGCGACGAUCAGUAGCCGACCUGAGAGGGUGAUCGGCCACACUGGAACUGAGACACGGUCCAGACUCCUACGGGAGGCAGCAGUGGGGAAUAUUGCACAAUGGGCGAAAGCCUGAUGCAGCAACGCCGCGUGGAGGAAGAAGGUCUUCGGAUUGUAAACUCCUGUCUUUGGGGACGAAAAAAAUGACGGUACCCAAGGAGGAAGCCACGGCUAACUACGUGCCAGCAGCCGCAGUAAUAC
rnacentral:rRNA from 1 species